rnacentral:rRNA from 1 species
UACAGAGGUCUCAAGCGUUGUUCGGAUUCAUUGGGCAUAAAGGGUGCGUAGGCGGCGCGGUAAGUCGGGUGUGAAAUUUCGAGGCUUAACUUCGAAACUGCAUUCGAUACUGCCGUGCUUGAGGACUGGAGAGGAGACUGGAAUUUACGGUGUAGCGGUGAAAUGCGUAGAUAUUGGGAAGAACACCGAUGGCGAAGGCAGCCAUCUGGACCGACACUGACGCUGAGGCGCGAAAGCGUGGGGAGCAAACAGG